AUGAGGGCCCCUGUGCAGCUCCUCAGCUUCCUGCUUCUCUGGCUCCAGGGUGCCAGGUGUGAUAUCCAUAUGAGCCAGCCUCCAUCCGUGCCUGCAGCUCUGGGAGAGAAAGUCACCAUCACCUGCAAGGCCAGUCAGAGCGUUUACAGUUGGGUAGCCUGGUAUCAGCAGAAACCAGGAAAUGCCCCUAGGCUCCUGAUCUAUGAGGCAACCAAUUUACAAGCAGGCGUCCCUCCCCGGUUCAGUGGCAGUCAAUCUGGGACAGAUUUCACUCUCACCAUCAGCAGUCUGGAGCCUGAGGAUGCUGCCACUUACUACUGUCAUGAUUAUACUAGGUAUCCUCCCACAGUGAUACACAACAGAACAUAA